rnacentral:rRNA from 1 species
GAGGGACGAAAGCGUGGGGAGCAAACAGGAUUAGAUACCCUGGUAGUCCACGCCGUAAACGAUGAUCAUUAGUUGGUGGAAUAAUUUCACUAACGCAGCUAACGCGUUAAAUGAUCCGCCUGAGUAGUAUGCUCGCAAGAGUGAAACUUAAAGGAAUUGACGGGAACCCGCACAAGCGGUGGAGCAUGUGGUUUAAUUUGAAAAUACGCGUAGAACCUUACCCACUCUUGACAUCUUCUGCAAAGCUAUAGAGAUAUAGUGGAGGUUAACAGAAUGACAGAUGGUGCAUGGUUGUCGUCAGCUCGUGUCGUGAGAUGUUAGGUUAAGUCCUGCAACGAGCGCAACCCUUUUCUUUAGUUACUAAUAUUAAGUUAAGGACUCUAGAGAUACUGCCUGGGUAACCAGGAGGAAGGUGGGGACGACGUCAAAUCAUCAUGCCUCUUACGAGUGGGGCAACACACGUGCUACAAUGGUCGGUACAAAGAGAAGCAAUAUGGUGACAUGGAGCAAAUCUCAAAAAACCGAUCUCAGUUCGGAUUGAAGUCUGCAACUCGACUUCAUGAAGUCGGAAUCGCUAGUAAUCGUAGAUCAGCUACGCUACGGUGAAUACGUUCUCGGGUUUUGUACACACCGCCCGUCGCACCAUGGGAGUUGGUAAUGCCCAAAGUCGGUGAGUUAACUUCGGAGACCAUUGCCUAAGGCAGGA